UGAGUGCGAGCUGCUACGGCAGCGAAGUUGGUGACGUCAAGCUUCCAAGAAAAGCCCUAUACCCGUUAAGGCAUCACGGCCUGUACCCGAAACCGACACAGGUGGGGUGGUAGAGAAUACCGAGGGGCGCGAGGUAACUCUCUCUAAGGAACUCGGCAAAAUGACCCCGUAACUUCGGGAGAAGGGGUGCCACCGCAAGGUGGUCGCAGUGAAGAGGCCCAGGCGACUGUUUACCAAAAACACAGGUCUCCGCUAAGUCGCAAGACGAUGUAUGGGGGCUGACGCCUGCCCAGUGCCGGAAGGUUAAGGAAGCUGGUCAGCGUAAGCGAAGCUAGCGACUGAAGCCCCAGUGAACGGCGGCCGUAACGAUAACGGUCCUAAGGUAGCGAAAUUCCUUGUCGGGUAAGUUCCGACCCGCACGAAAGGCGUAACGAUCUGGGCGCUGUCUCGGAGAGAGGCUCGGCGAAAUAGAAUUGUCUGUGAAGAUGCGGACUACGUGCACCCGGACAGAAAGACCCUAUGAAGCUUUACUGUAGCUUGGUAUUGUGCCCGGGCUCUGAAUGCGCAGGAUAGGUGGGAGGCUUUGAUCAACAGCUUGCGGGUUGUUGUGAGCCAACGGUGAGAUACCACUCUUUCAGAGCUAGGGUUCUAACAGUCACCCGUUAUCCGGGGACUGGACAGUAUCUGGUGGGCAGUUUGACUGGGGCGGUCGCCUCCUAAAAGGAACGGAGGCGCGCAAAGGUUUGCUCAGGCUGGUUGGAAAUCAGCCGACGAGUGUAAAAGCAGAAGCAAGCUUGACUGUGAGACCUACAAGUCGAACAGGGAGGAAACUCGGCUUUAGUGAUCCGACGGUUCUGCGUGGAAGGGCCGUCGCUCAACGGAUAAAAGUUACUCUAGGAUAACAGGCUGAUCUCCCCCAAGAGUUCACAUCGACGGGGAGGUUUGGCACCUCGAUGUCGGCUCAUCGCAACCUGGGGCUGAAGUCGGUCCCAAGGGUUGGGCUGUUCGCCCAUUAAAGCGGUACGCGAGCUGGGUUCAGAACGUCGUGAGACAGUUCGGUCCAUAUCCGGUGCAUGCGCAGGAAUAUUGAGAGGAUUUCUCCCUAGUACGAGAGGACCGGGAGGAACGCACCUCUGGUGUACCAGUUAUCGUGCCAACGGUAAACGCUGGGUAGCCAUGUGCGGAGUGGAUAACCGCUGAAAGCAUCUAAGUGGGAAGCCCACCUCAAGAUGAGUAUUCCCAUGGCGUUAGCCAGUAAGGUCACGGGAAGAACACCCGUUGAUAGGCUCUAUGUGGAAGCGCAGUAAUGUGUGAAGCAGAGGAGUACUAAUAGACCGAGGGCUUGAC
rnacentral:rRNA from 1 species